UACAGAGGUCUCAAGCGUUGUUCGGAUUCAUUGGGCGUAAAGGGUGCGUAGGUGGCGCCGUAAGUCAGGUGUGAAAUUUCGGAGCUUAACUCCGAAACUGCAUUUGAUACUGCGGUGCUUGAGGACUGGAGAGGAGACUGGAAUUUACGGUGUAGCAGUGAAAUGCGUAGAGAUCGUAAGGAAGACCAGUGGCGAAGGCGGGUCUCUGGACAGUUCCUGACGCUGAGACGCGAAAGCCAGGGGAGCAAACGGG
rnacentral:rRNA from 1 species